rnacentral:rRNA from 1 species
UGAACGCUGGCGGCGUGCCUAAUACAUGCAAGUCGAGCGAACAGACGAGGAGCUUGCUCCUCUGACGUUAGCGGCGGACGGGUGAGUAACACGUGGAUAACCUACCUAUAAGACUGGGAUAACUUCGGGAAACCGGAGCUAAUACCGGAUAAUAUAUUGAACCGCAUGGUUCAAUAGUGAAAGACGGUUUUGCUGUCACUUAUAGAUGGAUCCGCGCCGCAUUAGCUAGUUGGUAAGGUAACGGCUUACCAAGGCAACGAUGCGUAGCCGACCGGAGAGGGUGAUCGGCCACACUGGAACUGAGACACGGUCCAGACUCCUACGGGAGGCAGCAGUAGGGAAUCUUCCGCAAUGGGCGAAAGCCUGACGGAGCAACGCCGCGUGAGUGAUGAAGGUCUUCGGAUCGUAAAACUCUGUUAUUAGGGAAGAACAAAUGUGUAAGUAACUAUGCACGUCUUGACGGUACCUAAUCAGAAAGCCACGGCUAACUACGUG